GCGGCCGCUUCCCCCGCGCCGAGCGAGGAGGCAGGCUGUGGCGGCGAGAGGCGGCUGCGCGGCCAUGGGCGCGCCAGUGUCGCCCUAGGGCGGGCGCACAGACCACAGCCGGAGCGGUGGCUGCAGCCUCCACGGAAAGCCUUCCCGGGUGGCGGCGGCGGCCCCUGGAGCAGCGCGGCCGGGAUGAGCGGGAGCGGCGCGGCGCCCGGCCCGAGCUCGGGCUCCUCCCCGGCCGCCUGCCGCUUCGCGCACUAUUUCGUGCUGUGCGGGAUCGACGCAGACAGCGGGCUGGAGCCUGACGAGCUGGCGGGUGAAAAUUUUGACCAGAGUCCUUUGAGAAGAACAUUCAAAUCCAAAGUUCUCGCCCACUAUCCUCAGAAUAUAGAAUGGAACCCUUUUGAUCAAGAUGCGGUGAACAUGAUUAUCAACGCCUGAUGACUGUGGCAGAAGGCAUCACCACACUUUUGUUCCCAUUUCAAUGGCAACAUGUUUAUGUGCCCAUUCUACCUGCUUCUCUGCUACAUUUUCUUGAUGCUCCUGUCCCUUAUCUGAUGGGCCUUCAG
rnacentral:sRNA from 1 species